CAAGCCCGCCAGGAGCGAGAGCUUCUGUGAGAGGGCGGAGCCCUAGCACGCGGGCGGAGCCUUGGUGGGGCGGAGCCUGUGGGGGCGGGACGAGGCCCGGCCGGGGCGGGUCUCACUCGCCGGCCCUGGCCACCGCUUGUGAGGAACUCUGUGGCCACAGAAGCAGGUGAGAGUCUUCGACCAGUUACCUUACUCUGGUUUUCCUGCCUCCCUCUUCAUCAGUGAGAUUCAAGACUGGACGAGGGCCCCCAGGGUAAGUGACCCAUACUCAAAAUCAGCAUAAUGUAAAACCUGCUAUAUCCACUGCCAUCUAGUUGCCCCAAUUCUAGCAAAUGAUGAUACAAAUGUAUUGACUAUCCAGUUGAGAAAGGGAAGGAGGCCGACCUCUCUUUCCACCCCAUGUUACUCGCCCCUUAGAAAUACUCAGGUUCACUAUAAGUUUAAAACUGGUAGGUGAUGCACACCUUUAUCCCAGCACUUGGGAGGAAGAGGCAGGUGGAUCUGAGUUCCAGCCUGGUCUACAUGGUGAAUUCCAGGCCAGCUAAGACUACACAGUGAGGCCCUGUCUCAACAGCAGCAGCCGCAGCAGCAACAAUAACAACAGCAAGACAACUCUGGCAAGGCUGAAUGUGGUAGCCUACACCUUUAAUUACAGCACAUAAGAGAUAGAGGCAAGCAGAUCUCUGUGAAUUUAAGGCCAGUCUAGUUUACAUGUGAGUUGCAGGCCAACAGGACUACACACAAAGACCCUGUCUCAAACAAAAAGACUCUGAUAGGGUAAUCCAUUCCAAAAGACUCUACUCAGAGACUCUCAGAUGUAGCAGAAGCUAUAAGAGCUCAAAUUCUGAGACCAAGGAGCUCUGACAAGAGAAGGUUGCUCAGUGGAUACCUAUUGUAUCCCUACUGUAUUCCUACUGAAGUCCCACUGUAACUUUCCUGAGAAGCAGGAGUGUGCUUCCCACAGGACUUCCAUCUCAUAACUAUAGGACAGGUGAAACAAGACAUGUAGCCACAGCUUGUCAGUAGCAGCCUUUGGUUCAGGAAGUUACCUACUGCACAUAUCACUUUAUUAAGACUUUGUGACUUUGUAGCUGGCAAAUGACACUUAGACUCUCUUAGUCUAUUCUUUAAAGACCUGGAUCUGUUGAAAAACCAAA